AUUCCAUGGUGUGGGCAUAAGCAACAAGUCUAUUGAAUCUUUCCCUAUAUUCAUAUAAGCUCUCAUCAGGAUUUUGCCUGAUUCCACUGAUUUCCUUUCUGAUAUU
rnacentral:snoRNA from 1 species